UACGAGGGGUGCAAGCGUUGUUCGGAAUCACUGGGCGUAAAGCGUGUCUAGGCGGGUCGGUAAGUUUGUUGUGAAAGCCCUUGGCUCAACCAAGGAAUUGCAAUGGAUACUGCCGGUCUUGAGUGAUGGAGAGAUGGGCGGAAUUCCGGGUGUAGCAGUGAAAUGCGUAGAUAUCCGGAGGAACACCAGAGGCGAAGGCGGCUCAUUGGCCAUCAACUGACGCUGAAGCACGAAAGCGUGGGUAGCAAACAGGAUUAGAUA
rnacentral:rRNA from 1 species